rnacentral:rRNA from 1 species
CAUGCAAGUCGAACGGCAGCACGGAGAGCUUGCUCUCUGGUGGCGAGUGGCGCAACGGGUGAGUAAUAUAUCGGAACGUGUCCAAUAAUGGGGGAUAACGAGUCGAAAGAUUCGCUAAUACCGCAUACGCCCUACGGGGGAAAGCAGGGGAUCGUAAGACCUUGCGUUAAUGGAGCGGCCGAUAUCUGAUUAGCUUGUUGGUGAGGUAAAGGCUCACCAAGGCGACGAUCAGUAGCUGGUUUGAGAGAACGACCAGCCACACUGGAACUGAGACACGGUCCAGACUCCUACGGGAGGCAGCAGUGGGGAAUUUUGGACAAUGGGGGCAACCCUGAUCCAGCCAUUCCGCGUGAGUGAAGAAGGCCUUCGGGUUGUAAAGCUCUUUCGCAAGGGAAGAAAACUUAUGAUCGAAUAAAUCAUGAGGUUGACGGUACCUUGAUAAGAAGCACCGGCUAACUACGUGCCAGCAGCCGCGGUAAUACGUAGGGUGCGAGCGUUAAUCGGAAUUACUGGGCGUAAAGCGUGCGUAGGCGGUUUUGUAAGUCGGAUGUGAAAUCCCCGGGCUCUACCU